CAAAACCUCGGAUUUGUGCUGAUGUUUUUACUUCAGAGCUGAUCCUAAUGUCUUUCUUUUGAAGCAUUUUAGUAUCAGAAGUGUUCAAAUGGCAGACCGAGAAAAGCUGGUACACAGGGAGCCUUGGUACAACUGCUGGCCCACUCUUCAGGCAACUGCUAAUUACAAAAGAAUUCCAUAGGAAGGACUUCCAGGAGAGGACGAGGGUUUCUCAUCUGUGCCAGGGACUCGGCAGGAGCAUGUGAGGAGUGAACUCUGGCCUGCUCAGUCUAUUUAGCAAGCUCUGAGAUGUCUUACAACAUCCCACUGGGAUCUCCAGAGCCCACUUCACUCCUCAGGAAGUGCAGGCAAAGGCAGGAAUGGACUUCCAAUGGGAAUCUGAACUGAGGUGGCUGCAGAGCAACUGCUCCUUCCAUAUCACACCAGGAGUGCCUUUAUCCCACCAACCAACCCUGCUGACAGCCCAGGGAGGAUGGGAAAGGGGCAGCACAUUUCAUGCUGCAGCCCCCCGGAUUUUCUGCUACCCCAUUUGAGCACUCCAGGAAAAUUUUGCUGCAUCACAAGCUGGAAGCACUAAGGAGUUCAGAGAAGUUCUGCUGAAGACCAGGACUGUUGGUUACCUUCUGCCCAAUUAAUCCAGGAAUCAG